rnacentral:rRNA from 1 species
GACGUAGGGGGCAAGCGUUGUCCGGAAUCAUUGGGCGUAAAGCGCGUGUAGGCGGCUCGAUAAGUCUGCUGUGAAAGUUCAGGGCUCAACCCUGAAAUGCCGGUGGAAACUGUCGAGCUAGAGUCCGGAAGAGGCGAGUGGAAUUCCUGGUGUAGCGGUGAAAUGCGCAGAUAUCAGGAGGAACACCAAUGGCGAAGGCAGCUCGCUGGGACGGUACUGACGCUGAGACGCGAAAGCGUGGGGAGCAAACAGG